GAUGAACGCUAGCUACAGGCUUAACACAUGCAAGUCGAGGGGUAACGAGAGGAAAGCUUGCUUUCCUUGUCGACGACCGGCGCACGGGUGAGUAACGCGUAUCCAACCUGCCCCCAACUAGGGAAUAACCUUGCGAAAGUAAGACUAAUACCCUAUAAUUUCCUCAGAUGUCAUCUGACGAGGAAUAAAGAUUUAUCGGUUGUGGAUGGGGAUGCGUCUGAUUAGCUUGUUGGCGGGGUAACGGCCGACCAAGGCAACGCUCAGUAGGGGUUCUGAGAGGAAUGUCCCCCGAAUUGCAACUGAGAACCGGUCCAAGCUCCUACGCGAGGCAGCAGUGAUGAAUGUUGGUCAAUGACCGGAAGACUGAACAAGCAAAGUAUCUUGCAGUAUCACGGCCCUAUGGGUUGUAAACUGCAUUUAUACAGGAAUAAAGUUAGCCACGUGUGGUUAUUAGUCGAUACUGUAUGAAUAAGGACCGGCUAAUUCCGUGCCAGCCGCCGCGGUAA
rnacentral:rRNA from 1 species